rnacentral:rRNA from 1 species
GACGAACGCUGGCGGCGUGCCUAAUACAUGCAAGUCGAACGCUGAAGGAGGAGCUUGUUUCUCUGGAUGAGUUGCGAACGGGGGAGUAACGCGUAGGUAACCUGCCUGGUAGCGGGGGAUAACUAUUGGAAACGAUAGCUAAUACCGCAUAACAGUAGACAUCGCAUGAUAUCUACUUGAAAGGUGCAAUUGCAUCACUACCAGAUGGCGAUGCGUGGUAUUAGCUUGUUGGGGGGGGAACGGCCCACCAAGGCGACGAUCCAUAGCCGAGCUGAGAGGGUGAUCGGCCACACUGGGACUGGGACACGGCCCAGACUCCUACGGGGGGCAGCAGUAGGGGAUCUUGGGCAAUGGACGGGAGUCUGACCGAGCAACGCCGCGUGAGUGAAGAAGGUUUUCGGAUCGGAAAGCUCUGUUGUAAGAGAAGAACGAGUGUGAGAGUGGAAAGUUCACGCUGUGACGGUAUCUUACCAGAAAGCGCCGGCUAACUACGUG